rnacentral:lncRNA from 1 species
UUUUAGUCUACUACUAAGAUUCGUCAAUCUGUUGUUGAAACAUUCAUUCAGCAGUGUCAGUUUUUCUUUUAAAAUGGAGAAAUUGUAGAAAUGACAAAUAUUGUGGCUCCUCCACCACCUUCACACCCAGGAGAGUUGGUGGAACCAAUGGUACCACUUCAGUUGCUGCCACCAUUGCAACCUCAGCUGACACAACCACAAUUACAAACAGAUCCUCUUGGUAUUAGAUGA